GAGGAGGAUUUGGAAGAGGAGCAGCAGGAGUAGCAUACAGAGGAUGAUCUUUCAGGACUUGGUAAACUGGCCAAAAGGACCAAACCUGACCAAUCAUUGCCAAGAAAGAAGAAGUCAAAGAAUGUCUAUUAGUUUAAAAUAAAACCAAACACAUUGCAGCAAA